rnacentral:rRNA from 1 species
GAUCCUGGCCCAGGAUAAACGCUAGCGGCAGGCCUAACACAUGCAAGUCGAGGGGCAGCGGGUGGAGUAUUUCGGUACUCCUGCCGGCGACCGGCGCACGGGUGCGUAACGCGUAUGCAACCUACCUUUAACAGGGGGAUAAUCCGAAGAAAUUUGGUCUAAUACCCCAUAAUAUCAUUUAAGGCAUCUUAGAUGGUUGAAAAUUACCGAUGGUUAGAGAUGGGCAUGCGUUGUAUUAGCUAGUUGGUUGAGGUAAACGGG